AGCGAACGCUGGCGGCAGGCUUAACACAUGCAAGUCGAACGGGCAUAGCAAUAUGUCAGUGGCAGACGGGUGAGUAACGCGUGGGAACGUACCUUUUGGUUCGGAACAACACAGGGAAACUUGUGCUAAUACCGGAUAAGCCCUUACGGGGAAAGAUUUAUCGCCGAAAGAUCGGCCCGCGUCUGAUUAGCUAGUUGGUAGGGUAAUGGCCUACCAAGGCGACGAUCAGUAGCUGGUCUGAGAGGAUGAUCAGCCACAUUGGGACUGAGACACAGCCCAAACUCCUACGGGAGGCAGCAGUGGGGAAUAUUGGGCAAUGGGCGAAAGCCUGAUCCAGCCAUGCCGCGUGAGUGAUGAAGGCCCUAGGGUUGUAAAGCUCUUUUGUGCGGGAAGAUAAUGACGGUACCGCAAGAAUAAGCCCCGGCUAACUUCGUG
rnacentral:rRNA from 1 species